rnacentral:tRNA from 1 species
AGAAAAUAGUUUAAAUAAAAACUUUAUAUCGAUAAUAUAACAUUGUAAAUAAAAUUACUUUUCUAAU